CGUGAGAAGAAGUUGGGGAGAAGUGCUUGGAGAGCUUCGUCCAUUUUGGCAUGGGGAAGAAGGAAUGAUUAACGUCCUAGCACGUCAUCAAAGAAUAAACCUGCGGUCUCCCAGAAAGAUCAAGCCGAGCAGGAGCUGGAGAGGACCAUCAUGGCAGUCUUCGUCUUCAGAGAGAAUUCAAGCCUUCUACAGCAGCCCGAAGACGUUGGGAUUGUCAUUGAUGGUGUGGAAGUCCUCAAUGAGCGUCCUUCUGUUGCAGCCGGAGUGGCAAUGCUCUUUGGACUUUGCUAUGCUCUUAACAUGAAGUAUCCACAGGGUUUCAGGUUCACCUUUGAGGCCCUUCAGAAGAUCCUGAUGGAGCUUGGUUCCAACAAGAUGACUUCCAAGAUUCGCAAACUCAGUGGUGAACUCAAAACUGCACAGUAGUGUAUAUUUGUGUGUGCUCAAUGUGUGCAUGUAGUUGCCACUGGCAUCUAUUUAAGAGGUAGACCACCUCACAGCACUUUGUUAUACAGGCUCACGGGGUCACUUUCAUGGAGUGCUUUUGUUGGAAUUUUAGUUCUUUCAUGAUGUUUAGAGAUGCAACAUUCCUUCAAGUUCAGAUGUGUUUGAACAGUUCAACAGUGGAUGCUUUCUGUCCAUUUAAUUUUGCUUGAUAAGCCAUAUUUUCUUUAUUUAAUUGCUCUGAUGUAGAGCAACAAUGACAUGUUUAUAUUUUUGUCUGAACAUGCAACUUUUUUUUGGUCCUUUUUUACUUGAGGAAUAAAUGGCUUAGAAAAAAA